CAGAGUUCGUGCCCUCACGGGUAGAUCUCCCACCCUGUGUUAUUAUACCUUUGUUGCUUUGGCGGGCCGCCCUCGGCUACCGGCCCCGGCUGGUACGCGCCCGCCAGAGGACCCCAAACUCUGAAUGUUAGUGUCGUCCGAGUAACUAUAUAUAAUCGUUA
rnacentral:misc_RNA from 1 species